GCCUACACAUGCAAGUCGAGCGCACUCUUCGGAGUGAGCGGCGGACGGGUUAGUAACGCGUGGGAAUAUACCCGACGCUAAGGAAUAGCCUCUGGAAACGGAGAGUAAUACCUUAUACGCCCUUCGGGGGAAAGAUUUAUCGGUGACGGAUUAGCCCGCGUUAGAUUAGAUAGUUGGUGGGGUAAUGGCCUACCAAGUCUACGAUCUAUAGCUGGUUUGAGAGGAUGAUCAGCAACACUGGGACUGAGACACGGCCCAGACUCCUACG
rnacentral:rRNA from 1 species